UAGGAAUUUGGUUCUGGUUUUUGUAGUUGGGUUCUUCGAGAAUUAAUGCAUGUGAGUUUUUGAAGCGUUCUGGUAAGGCAGUGACUCCUUUAUAUUUAUGAAUUUAAAGAUAAAUAAGUUAGGAUAACACAAGAGAUAACCAUAAGUUUUUGGGUAUAAUAUCCGUUAAGUAGCGUUACACCUGCAGCAGGUAAUACUUAACACUAACCGAAAGGUUGAUUAGAUCAAGGGAGAAUAGAUCUGGCUAAGUCUCGUGCCAGCAGCCGCGGUUACACGAACUGGAUCUCUUAACACAGUAUGCGGCUUAUUGAGGAAACAUUUGAAUGAUCAAUUAGUUAAAAAGGGCUAAGAAAAAAGGGUGCAAUCUUAAUUUGGUUCGGAGGGGUAAAUGAGUGAUGGAGACCUUGUGAAUUAGGGGGGAGACCCGGAUUAGAUACCCGGUUAUUCCUAAUCGUAAAAAAUAAUGCCGGUGGAGUAUGGGGGUGUCCCUGAGAAACAAAGAACUUGGCGGUUGUCUAUGUCUGACUAGGGGUGUCUGCUAAAUGUAAACCGGUGAUCCGCGUUAUACCUUACUUUUACUUGAAAAUCAGCUACUAUAUCAUCGUCGUUAACCUUCUAUCGUGAGUUGAGCCGGGUUAAGAGCCAAGUCAAUUGGGCUAGACGUCAGAUCGAGAUGGUGUCUAUGUGAAAUGGAUUUGGUUGGCAGCAUUGGCUUUUGGCCUCUUUAGUUUGGAUCUUUUACUGAAAUGGAAAAGGGAAAUUGGACUUAGUAGUAAUAAAAGAAGAGAAAAAUUUUAUGAAGAUAGCUAUUAGGCUUCGUACACAUCGCCCGUCACCUGCGGAGUUAAAUUUGGAGUAAGUCGUAACAUAGUAGGCGGACCGGAAGGUGUGGCCUGGAAAGAU
rnacentral:ncRNA from 1 species